rnacentral:lncRNA from 1 species
GAACUUUUGUAGAAGCUGCUGUAGUUUUGCUGAACAAGGAUGGUGUCUUAGGGAGAACCCUAAAGUUGUCUCCUGAGACUUGGAUGGAGUUUCUAUUGAAGGAUCUCUGCUGUAGGACGAGCAUUUUACACAGCCCUGUUCCUGGGUCGCUGCCUGCAAGAUGAAGUCUCUCUGCAGCUUUGAAGCAACUUGGUUUGGCUGGGAAUGCUGCUGCACAAGACCUACCAACUAUUUCAAAGUGUGGGGCCAGAAGACGUGGAUGCAGGUCAAGAACAAGGAUCCAACAGAAGGCUCAAAAGACUUGCACUCACUGGUCACUGGUUCCAGGUUAUGGCAGCCAAUGGAAGCAUCAACACCAGCACCACAAAACUCAGCCCUUGUAACAGUAGGUGAAGUCUCCUGAUCAGUAGAGGGGAAAUCCAUAGGAGACUGAAACCUUUUCUUCCUUGGGCCAAGAGGAAGUCUCCAUCCACAGCAUCUGGAAUAUUUCUAACGUGCAACCCAAACAUAAUAAAGGUGUGAAGGCCAAAAAUGGGAAACA